rnacentral:rRNA from 1 species
CCUACGGGCUGCAGCAGUGGGGAAUAUUGGGCAAUGGGCGCAAGCCUGACCCAGCAACGCCGCGUGAGCGAAGAAGUAUUUCGGUAUGUAAAGCCCUAUCAGCAGGGAAGAAGUAAUGACGUUACCUUAAUCAGAAGCACCGGCUAAAUACGUCCCAGCAGCCGCGGUUAUCCGUAUGGGGCAAGCGUUGUCCGGAUGUACUGUGUGUAAAGGGAGCGGAGGCGGCAAGGAAAGUCUGAGGGGAAAGCCCGUGGCGUAACCGCGGGACUGCAUUGGGAACUACCUGGCUGGAGUGCAGGAGAGGUAGGCGGAAUUCCUAGUGUAGCGGUGAAAUGCGUAGAUAUUAGGAGGAACACCAGUGGCGAAGGCGGCCUACUGGACGGUAACUGACGCUGAGGCUCGAAAGCGUGGGGAGCAAACAGGAUUAGAUACCCCAGUAGUC